rnacentral:rRNA from 1 species
CCCUACGGGGCGCAGCAGUGGGGAAUUUUGGACAAUGGGCGCAAGCCUGAUCCAGCAAUGCCGCGUGAGUGAAGAAGGCCUUCGGGUUGUAAAGCUCUUUUGUCAGGGAAGAAACGGUGAGUCCUAAUAUGGCUUGCUAAUGACGGUACCUGAAGAAUAAGCACCGGCUAACUACGUGCCAGCAGCCGCGGUAAUACGUAGGGUGCAAGCGUUAAUCGGAAUUACUGGGCGUAAAGCGUGCGCAGGCGGUUAUAUAAGACAGUCGUGAAAUCCCCGGGCUCAACCUGGGAACUGCGAUUGUGACUGUAUGGCUAGAGUGUGUCAGAGGGGGGUAGAAUUCCACGUGUAGCAGUGAAAUGCGUAGAUAUGUGGAGGAAUACCGAUGGCGAAGGCAGCCCCCUGGGAUAACACUGACGCUCAUGCACGAAAGCGUGGGGAGCAAACAGGAUUAGAUACCCGGGUAGUCCU